AAAGUUUAGUCCCAUCUUAUGAAGUUUACUUAUAGCGGAGGGACAAUGUAAGUUUCCCUGAUACAUUUUUAAAGUAUUGUAGGGAAGUGAAGGUGCUCUAAAAAUGUUUAAUAAUUUGUUUAAAAAAUACAAUUUCAGAUUUGGUUGUGGAUAUGAUGGUAUAUGAAUAUUUACAAACUUAAAAGUUUGUAUGGCUUUAUCUUUUCACAGUGAAAUGACAGUUUUUUUCCUGUGAUUUUUUUUUCUUGAUGCAUAUUGUUGAAAUCAAUGAAAAACAAACAAACAUAUAAUCCAAUUUGUAACCCUGAUGUUAGUUGUUU
rnacentral:lncRNA from 1 species